CUUCAUGUCAAUUAUAAUGCAUCUUAUCAAAAUAACGAGAGAUAUUAUUCAGCAGUUUCCAGUGUUUUAUCUGCAGUACCAGUGGUAGCAAUAUACGUAUUCAUUCUGGAUUUCUACCUUAACAGGAACUCAAGCUAGAAUUUCAAGCACAAGAACAAUGAAUUGGACUUUAGCUUUCAGAGUUUGCAGUGGGGUGCUUUGACCAGUUUGAGAGAGCAGAAAGCAAAUGCUCUUUCCCCUCACCAACAGGACGAUGACCUCCUUGACUGCUUCAUGCAGUUAGAGCAAGUCUCUUUUCAGCUGAACUGGACAUGAUGUUUCGGAUUGAUUUGCCUUGCCCUGAAAUGAGAAGUUACCGCCAUCCAUGAGGUGUAGACUAAGAAGUGUUCUGUCAUUAUGUUCCCAUAUUUGCA